rnacentral:rRNA from 2 species
UCGGGGUCAGUAGGUUGGUCAUGCCACUGGUAUGUACUGGCCUCACUGAUUCCUCCUUCCUGAUGAGCCGUAAUGCCAUUAAUUUGGUGUUGCGAGGAAUCUGGACUGUUACUUUGAAAAAAUUAGAGUGUUUAAAGCAAGCUAACGCUUGAAUACAUUAGCAUGGAAUAAUGAAAUAGGACGCUCGAUCCUAUUUUGUUGGUUUCUAGGAUUGACGUAAUGAUUAAUAGGGAUAGUUGGGGGCAUUAGUAUUCAAUUGUCGGAGGUGAAAUUCUUGGAUUUAUUGAAGACUAACUACUGCGAAAGCAUUUGCCAAGGAUGUUUUCAUUAAUCAAGAACGAAAGUUAGGGGAUCGAAGACGAUCAGAUACCGUCGUAGUCUUAACCAUAAACUAUGCCGACUAGGGAUCGGAUGAUGUUAAUUUUUUAAUGACUCAUUCGGCGCGGCGCCUUACGGGAAAC